GACGAACGCUGGCGGCGUGCUUAACACAUGCAAGUCGAACGGAAAGGCCCUGCUUGCAGGGUGCUCGAGUGGCGAACGGGUGAGUAACACGUGGGUGAUCUGCCCCUUACUUUGGGAUAAGCCUGGGAAACUGGGUCUAAUACUGGAUAGGACCAUGCUGUAGGUGGUGUGGUGGAAAGAUUAGUUUCGGUAAGGGAUGAGCUCGCGGCCUAUCAGCUUGUUGGUGGGGUAAUGGCCUACCAAGGCGUCGACGGGUAGCCGGCCUGAGAGGGUGGACGGCCACAUUGGGACUGAGAUACGGCCCAGACUCCUACGGGAGGCAGCAGUGGGGAAUAUUGCACAAUGGGCGCAAGCCGGAUGCAGCGACGCCGCGUGGGGGAUGACGGCCUUCGGGUUGUAAACACCUUUCAGCCAUGACGAAGCCCUUGUGGUGACGGUAGUGGUAGAAGAAGCACCGGCUAACUACGUG
rnacentral:rRNA from 1 species